UGUCAAUAGAAGGGGGGGAAAGCAAUUAAUCAAGAUUUUUAUAUCCAAAGGCCCAAUAAAUAUACUAAAUAUAAAAAAAACAAUGGACGCUUGAUUACACCAGCACGUGCACUUGUGGUUAAUUAGAUAAAUGGGAGCGCGCGCACCGCAAAGUGGCUGGAUUUGUUGUUGACGCAGUUAGCGCCAAUUGCUAAUCAAUAAUGCGAAGACAACAGCUCAGAUAGUCACGGUCAGGGCUGCGGAUUCUACCUUGUACAAACCUCAGUCAGGUGAAGGAUCAACAAGUCAGGCUGACCUGACUUACAGAUUCAACUAAACAACCUACCUCUGUCCCUGCACUCUCUCUGCUACUAGGGGAUGGAGAGCGGGGGUGGCAGGUUCUGUUAACACACAAUUACUCAGCGGACAUUUUCAGUAACAAAGGCAUUCCCCACCGGACUCAUAAUAAAGACAUAUUCAGUCCUUUUGUGGAUAUUAUUGAAUUAUUCUAUCUGUCAGUCUCGCUUCCCAGUUAAUGGCUGAAUGACUGGUUUUUCCAAGUGACCCUGGGUCAAAGUAGCUGUGCCUUUUUUGAAUUACGUGUUUGGACAACCCGAUAAGGUGACUGAUUUAGAAAACAGUGACUCCAAGUCCUUGUGAGGAGAGGAUGGUGACAAAUGUUUUAAUUAUGAUCAUUAUUAUUGUUAUCAUCCUGUCUCUGUGACUCAACCCUCACAUAUCUCAGAUUAUUCCCACAAAAUGACUUAAUGAAUAGCAACAGGGGCAUUCCCCAAGCUCACAAUAAAAAAAGUAUCUUAACUUCUGUGAAUUGCUUGUUUAGGCAGGCUCGCACUACUCGAACACUUUCCAGCAACUCACCGAGAGAUGUGUGGGAGGUGUCGAAGUCCGUCCUAAACUGCCAGCAGCUGCCGACUACCAUCUACCAUCUUUGUGUUUUCUACCAUCAUGCCAACAGAAAUUUGCUCCCUGGGAAUUCACACACAGGCCGCAGUGUAACAGUAUGGAAGUGUGUGUGAUUGUUUUCUGUCUGAUGUUUUGCUUGGCCGGUUGUGAGUCAUCCAAAUUCCCCACAGAGCUCUAAUUCCUCCCGUGGUUGGCUUGGCUUCUUUUAUAAGCUCCGUCUUUAUUCUGAAGAGACUUGGCUCAUCUGAGAUAGUUCAAGUUUUAUGCGCUUCUGUUUCUUUGCCUCUGGGUCCCUGCAGCUGAUGAUUAACAUGUUGUAGAGAAGAAGGAUGAGUGUUUAAGCAAUCGUUAUUUGUCAUAUUAAGCAAAGGACUGGUUGUACUAGCAGAUGUCUGUGGGUCAUUAGAGAAAGCCACGGAAAUAAAUCCAUAAUAAAGGAUAAACAAAAUCUUCUUGUGACUUGCAAGCAGGCAGGCAUCCUGUAAUCAAGUGUGAAUGUUUCUGAUUUCACUGGAAACACUUUGUGUCUGUCUGGCUUUUGCAUUUCCGUGCUGCAAGGUGCCGUCGCAAUCAAGUUACACCGACCGAAUUGAUGGCAGAUGUAAUUCAGUUUUUUAACUUAUGAGUACAAUUUAUUUACCAAGACCAAUUACGCCUAAUCCAUGCUGCCAAACAAAGUCAUACUUGGCACGCCAGUAAUCAAAUAUGGAUGUUUCCUUUUUUCAUCCAGCCCCUCAAAGCUUUCCUGGGAUCAUGUUACAGUUUGUCUGGCUUUGCGAUUCCACGCUGAAGCAAGCUGCUCAACCAUCUGGUGGAGCAUGUGGAAAUAGUUCAUUUUAGGAUUGAAAAAUGUUUUCAGACUCUUCUGAGGCCUUUCUUCUUCUUCUUCUUCUUUUUUUUUUUUCACGCUUCACCUUCAGACAAUCCACUUUGAUUUACACAACCUUCUCUGUAGGGUGUAUUUUGGAUCUGGAUGGGGGAUUUGUUUUGCUGCUAUGGCUGCAAGGCCAUUGGGACAGCAGCAAGAAAAAGUAUUGGAUACAGUGCUAGACUCUCCAGACUGUGACACACAUACUGAACUGUACCUCUGUGGUCCCCUUUGAGCAAACACUUUCACUGUAGUGAGUCACUUUUUCCAGGUUGAGGGGAAAAAAAAACUAGGGGGGAAAAAUCGAUGCAUCCGCACACAUGUUAACCACACAAGGCACACAAGCAGAGAGGGUUAAAAGGGCAUAAGCUGCUUCCUGCUAGUGAGUCUGGGAAUUCGGGCAGAGUCUAGGGAAAUAACUGGCUGAUGAUUUGCUCUGAUGAAAGAAGCCAAUCGGAGGUUUGUUUGGAGGUUUGGUGUGCGGCACUACCAGUCUCAAUAACAACCCAGAGAGUGAUUGCCCAACAAAUAUGUUGAAAGCUUGACACUGCUCAUUGCUCAAUUCAGCGCUGAGGUUAGUUUUUGGAUGCAUGACACACCACAGAGACUGAAACAUCCUUCAGGUUUUGCUUACGUGGCUCAAAGUUUCCGUUGUGUGUUAUAGGACUGGAAUCUGUUGUAAGGGAACGGCAGUGGAGAAAAAACAAAUAACAGCUAUUUUGGUGAAUUUUCAUGAAUAUUUUACAUGCUACUCAUAUAUUGGUAUAAGCGUUAAUUAAGCAUUACUAAUUACAGUCCUAGUUUCUGUCUUUCAGCACUGCACAGAACUUGCAGAAUGGUUUAACGGGGAGUUAUUUAUCUAAGUUUUCCAUGAGUAAUUUUCUGGAGCAGCUCUGCUUCACUGACCUGAGUGCAGUUUAUCCUCUAAAAACUAAUGUUCCAAAUACUUCCUAGAGGUUUUCUAUUAAGUAGCUUUACACACUUGUUGUGAUACUGUUCAACUCUGUGCUCUGUGUCUGCUUGUUGUAGGGCCUCAUCAGACAUAUUUAAAGAGUAUUAGUUAAAGAUAUAAUGUGUGAUGAUUCUGCAUUAAAACAACUGGAGCUUGACUGGACUUUUGUUAUAUUUUCUUGACCAUGUGAUUCCAACAGUGGAAGUCUGCAAACAAGUGUUUAUUCACCCCAAAAAGCCAGAUUACUUUACAUGAGCUGUAAGCAAGCAAGUUUCCCUUCCCUUUCCUUUCUAAUUUCCCCCUCUCCUCUCCGUCUUGUACCUUGUGUAUAUAGUAAACAUUUCUAGUCGGCUGUCCAAAUUAAAG